rnacentral:rRNA from 1 species
AACGAACGCUGGCGGCAUGCCUAACACAUGCAAGUCGAACGAACCCUUCGGGGUUAGUGGCGCACGGGUGCGUAACGCGUGGGAAUCUGCCCUUUGCUUCGGAAUAACUCAGGGAAACUUGUGCUAAUACCGGAUGAUGUCUUCGGACCAAAGAUUUAUCGGCAAGGGAUGAGCCCGCGUAGGAUUAGGUAGUUGGUGGGGAAAAGGCCUACCAAGCCGCCGAUCCUUAGCUGGUCUGAGAGGAUGAUCAGCCACACUGGGACUGAGACACGGCCCAGACCCCCCGGGGGGGGGGAAGGGGGAAAAUGUGGGCAAGGGGCAUAAGCCUGCCCCGCCAGGGCCGGGUGGGUGUUCAGGGCCCUGGGGCCGUAAAGCUUUUUUACCGGGGUUGUUAUUACGGUACCCUGAGAAAAAGCCCCGGCCAACCUCGUG